rnacentral:rRNA from 1 species
UACGUAGGCAGCAAGCGUUGUUCGGAGUUACUGGGCGUAAAGAGUAUGUAGGCGGUUGCGUAAGUUCGGUGUGAAAUCUCCCGGCUUAACUGGGAGGGUGCGCCGAAAACUGCGUGGCUUGAGUGCGGGAGAGGAGAGCGGAAUUCCUGGUGUAGCGGUGAAAUGCGUAGAUAUCAGGAGGAACACCGGCGGUGUAGGCGGCUCUCUGGACCGUAACUGACGCUGAGAUACGAAAGCGUGGGUAGCAAACAGG